AACGUAGGAGGCGAGCGUUAUCCGGAUUUACUGGGUGUAAAGCGUGUGCAGGCGGUACGGUAAGUUGGAUGUGAAAGCUCCUGGCUUAACUGGGAGAGGUCGUUCAAAACUACCGAACUUGAGUGUGGGAGAGGGAGGCGGAAUUCCGGGUGUAGUGGUGAAAUGCGUAGAUAUCCGGAGGAACACCAGUGGCGAAGGCAG
rnacentral:rRNA from 1 species